UACGUAGGGGCGAGCGUUAUCCGGAUUUAUUGGGUUUAAAGGGUGCGCAGGCGGGAGAUUAAGUCGGCGGUGAAAUUUUGCAGCUCAACUGUAAAAGUGCCUUCGAAACUGGUUUCCUUGAGUGUAGAUGAAGUAGGCGGAAUUUGUGGUGUAGCGGUGAAAUGCUUAGAUAUCACGAGGAACUCCGAUUGCGCAGGCAGCUUACUAAACUACUACUGACGCUCAGGCACGAAGGCGUGGGGAUCAAACAGGAUUAGAUACCCUUGUAGUCCCU
rnacentral:rRNA from 1 species